GACGAACGCUGGCGGCGUGCUUAACACAUGCAAGUCGCACGGGGCCCGCAAGGGUUCAGUGGCGAACGGGUGCGUAACACGUGAGAAAUCUGUCCAUCGGCGGGGGAUAGCCGGCCCAACGGCCGGGUAAUACCGCGUACGUCGGCGGGAGCGCAUGCUCCUGCCGGGAAAGCAGCAAUGCACCGAUGGAGGAUCUCGCGGCCUAUCAGCUUGUUGGCGGGGUAAUGGCCCACCAAGGCAACGACGGGUAGCUGGUCUGAGAGGAUGAUCAGCCACAUUGGGACUGAGACACGGCCCAGACUCCUACGGGAGGCAGCAGUGGGGAAUAUUGCGCAAUGGGCGAAAGCCUGACGCAGCGACGCCGCGUGUGGGAUGAAGGCCUU
rnacentral:rRNA from 1 species